rnacentral:rRNA from 1 species
CUGAUGGGCAACGAAGGCCCUCGUCUAUGAAUAUUUUUACAAACGCUCAAAGUAUGACAGAAUGUAUAUCAUAUUGCGUCUGAUAAACGUGACAAAUACAACUUUCAACAACGGAUCUCUUGGCUCUCGCAUCGAUGAAGAACGCAGCGAAAUGCGAUAAGUAAUGUGAAUUGCAGAAUUCAGUGAAUCAUCGAAUCUUUGAACGCACCUUGCGCUCCUUGGUAUUCCGAGGAGCAUGCCUGUUUGAGUGUCAUGAAAUUCUCAACUGCCCCAGGCUUUGUGGCCUGCGGGUGAAGUUGGACUUGGAGGUAUGCUGGCGCAUGAAUGGGCUUUUGUGCCCCGUCUCGCUUGUUGGCUCCUCUCGAAUGCAUGAGCUUUCCAAUCCUUGGCAAAGUAUCGUCGAUGUGAUAAUUGUCUACGUCGCCUGAGAAAGCCGAAAAGGGGAAAUCUUUGAACACGCUGGGGUGACCUGCGUCUGACAAAUUCGACCUCAAAUCAGGUAGGACUACCCGCUGAACUUAAGCAUAUCAAUAAGCGGAGGAAAAGAAACUAACAAGGAUUCCCCUAGUGACUGCGAGUGAAGCGGGAAAAGCUCAAAUUUAAAAUCUGGCGGCCUCCGGUCGU